rnacentral:lncRNA from 1 species
GAUGGUAGCAUUUUCCAGUGUCAAAUUUAAGUACAAAAGUGAAGUCAUUUGGUUGUGUUUAAUAAACAUUUUAAUGUUCUUAAAUAGGGGCGGAGCAGAUGGCGUGGAGGCCGAGAGCAUAUGCUGCUCUUGCAGGGAACCUGGCUUUGGUUCCCAGCAUCCACAGCUGUCAUACAGGACACAAUUUGAGUUUGUUUAGUCUGAAGAGAUUUCUGAAGGCAUUUCAUGAGAAAGCUGAAAGCUGCAUUAUGUGAGAAAAGACCUACUAUUUUCAAUAAAGGGGGAAAAUGCUGUCACCUUAAUUUAAUGUCUGUAUCUAAACCUUCACCCCUAAGAGUAAUGUUUUACUGCAUAUGAUAGUCAUAGAAUACUACUUUAUAAUGUUUAUUCCUACUUCUAAGUAAACGUAAUAUCUCUUGAGUGUCAGGUGAGCCAAAGCAGCUUGGAGACCAAGGCUCCAUGUGAUACACGUCUGCCAUGCUGUCGCUCAGGAGGCAGAGAGUCAUGAAUUCAAAAUUCGCUUGGGCUGCAAAGACAGACCCUGACCCCCGUCCCGCCCUCACACACCCCCAAAAAAAGAAAGAAAAAGAAAAAAAAGAGAGAAAGAAAGAAAAAAUAGAACUUUUAGGAAAUACUUUGCAUUCUUAGUGAUUUUAGACAUUGGAAACUACUAAAGUGUAGACAAGAAGGGCUGGGAAAGACAAACUCUAAGAGUACAGCAAAGCCUAGCAUGAGCCCGUAGGAGUGAGACAGAGCCAGAGGAGGCCGUGUGCUUGAGGGAUUUGCUCCUGUUCCUCAGAAGCCAUGCACCAGCGGCACAGUGCACAUGCCCUAAAGGAGAUAGUGUGUUCAUGUCUCGUGUCCUCUCUCCAGGAGAAUGUCAGAGCAUUGACCAAAGGGGUCCAGGCUGUCAUGGGUUACAAGCCCGGGAGUGGCCUGGUGACUGCAGCUGCUGCGAGUGCUGAGAACGUACCUGGGAAGCCCUGGAAAAAACACGGUAACAGAAACAAAAAAGAGAAAAGCCGCAGGCUCUACAGGCACCUGGAUGUGUGAGCUUGGCUGAAGAGAAAUGGCAGCUGCACUGUGCGGGUGGACAAGGACUGAGGCCACCGCUGCCUGUGCUGCACCCCAGACAACAGCGCUGUGGACUGGACCCUGCUCUUGUGGAGCACUCGCCCCCGGAAGUCACCUUCGGAAGCACCUGAGGUGGCUACAGUAGUCAUGAGGUGCCCCAGAAGUCUCCUGCAGGAGGAUGAUGGAUGUGUGUAUAAACAUACAGAUACAUAAUAACUUUGAGGUUUUGUUAUUAAAAUUAAUUUGCCACUAAUUGAUAUUUUUAUUGGCUUAACUAGAUAAGCUGCCAUUCAUACAUUCCAUGUUGACCCUCUAGGGAGGGUCUGGAGGUGGCUCAACAGUUAAGAGCCCUGGUUGUCCUUCCAGAUGACUCAGGUGUGGUUCCUAGCACGCACAUGGCAGCUGACAACCAUUGGUGACUCCAGUGGUAGGGGAUCCAACGACUUCUUCUGGCUGUGAUGGGUACCACACACACGUGGUACACAGACAUUCAUGCAGCAAAACACCCAUACACAUAAAGCUUUAAAACAAAUAUGACGGGCUGGAGAGAUGGCUCAGCGGUUAAGAGCACAGACUGCUCUUCCAGAGGUCCUGAGUUCAAUUCCCAGCAACCACAUGGUGGCUCAAAACCAUCUGUAAUGGGAUCCGAUGCCCUCUUCUAGUGUGUGAAGACAGCUACAGGGUACUCAUAUUCAUAAAAUAAAUAAAUUAGAAAAAAUAAAAAUAAAUA